rnacentral:misc_RNA from 1 species
UGGUUUUGGACCCGUGUCUGCCGGUAGAUCCCCCGUCUUUGUGCGGCCGACUACCGGCGCCGUGUCCCGUCGGUUCUGUCGCUUAUGUUACUGUUGCCUUUCAAGUGCUUGCGUGCUGGUACCCGAACUACGGGUAGUGGUGCUCAACACACGUUGCCUCGCGGUGGACACCUUCGGGUGUGCCGCUGCGGCCAAAUGGCGCUUGCGGCGUUGCCUCGUGGCACCGGCACGUUAACUCUGCCGGUGCUAUCAAGGAAACCUUGCUCCCGCUAUUGGUCUCGGAUGUUGCCUACGCUAAAGUCUCUUGGCCCGUUCGGUUGCCUUGACCCGACCCUAAGAAGCUCUCCGAAAAAUUGAGAACAACCGGAACAGGUGUUGCCUCUACCUCUCCACAGUUAGUGGUAGGAUUACGCAACAUUCUGCGCCGAUCCUCAAACUAGUAGGAUGAGCUUAGCCCGCUCAAUCGCGACAACCGGCCCGGCCGUUGCCUCUGCCUUGACACGCAAGUGGAUGGGCGGACAACUUCCGACGCUGGACGUCAAAGAGGACG